UUAGCUGUGUUUCAGACGGAUUUUACACUUGAAGAAGAGUCACGCAUGACUUUUAGCAGCGCAAACGAGGCAAAAGAACCGCUACAUGAACGGCGGAAAGACCCGUUACUGUAGUUAUUAGGCAGGUAUGAUAGAGUUGCACUCACAGAGAGGAAACAGCGAGACGGCGAGAACAAGCCAAAUAAAGCCGUGUAACUGUUUAAGUGAGAGCAUUUUGGAAUUAAAACCCAGCUAGAAAGUGCCGUUUUCUCCCCUAACAGCCUAAAUGUAAGCACCACUCUCCACGCUGAGGUUCAUAAAAAAAAGAAGAAAAAGUUGCUGCUUUUAAACUACCGCCCUCAGAAAAGCGUUUAGAAAAGCCGAGCAGGCGCCCUUUCCGUCGAGCUCUCCCGGUGGCGGCGCUGGAUGUGUAUGUGCGGUUACACCGAGGACUCCUGGAGGAAAGCAGCCGAGCUCCGGCUGAUGUCACCCGGACAGGGAGGGGCCUCACCGGGAGACAUUUCCAUAAGAACAUGAUGUCACGAUGUUGCUGCUUCAAAUGACUCUUCUAGAGCAGCAAGAAGCAACAAUGACAUCUACAGCCACAUUCAGCAUUCAGUGUUAAAGUCAAUAAACGGCUAAGCCCAAGUGCUUUUUUAACUAUUGUUAAAAAACUGA